GGCUUGUUGAUUAUAAUUUCAAGUCUGACCUGCCCAAUGAAGUUUUUAAUGGCCGCAGUAAUUUGACUGUGCAAAGGUAGCAUAAUCACUAGUUUUUUAAAUGGAAGCUUGAAUGAAAGGUUGAAUGAGAAAAGUUCUGUCUCUGUAAAAAUUAAUUAAAAUUUUAUUUUUAAGUGAAAAAGCUUAGAUGUGUAUAGAAGACGAGAAGACCCUAUAGAGUUUUAUAGUUGAUUAAUAUAUUAUAUUUAUAGAAUGGUAAAUUAUAUAUUAAUAAAAUUAUUUUUUUGGGGUGAAGGAAAAAUUAAUUAAACUUUUUUUAAAUAGUUACAUUAGUUUAUGAAUAAAGUGGUCCUUAGUUUUAGAUUAUAAGAUUAAAUUACCUUAGGGAUAACAGCGUAAUUUUUUUUAGAGUUCUUAUCGAAAAAGAAGAUUGCGACCUCGAUGUUGGAUUAAAGUUUAUUUUUGGUGAAGAAGCUGAAAAGGGGGGUCUGUUCGACCUUUAAAAUUUUACAUGAUCUGAGUUUAAACCGGUGUGAG
rnacentral:rRNA from 1 species